rnacentral:rRNA from 1 species
GAUGAACGCUGGCGGCGUGCCUAAUACAUGCAAGUCGAGCGAACCACUUCGGUGGUGAGCGGCGAACGGGUGAGUAACACGUAGGUGAUCUGCCCAUCAGACGGGGACAACGAUUGGAAACGAUCGCUAAUACCGGAUAGGACGAAAGUUUAAAGGUGCUUCUGGCACCGCUGAUGGAUGAGCCUGCGGCGCAUUAGCUAGUUGGUAGGGUAAAGGCCUACCAAGGCAACGAUGCGUAGCCGACCUGAGAGGGUGAACGGCCACACUGGGACUGAGACACGGCCCAGACUCCUACGGGAGGCAGCAGUAGGGAAUCUUCGGCAAUGGGCGAAAGCCUGACCGAGCAACGCCGCGUGAAUGAUGAAGGCCUUCGGGUUGUAAAAUUCUGUUAUAAGGGAAGAACGACUUUAGCAGGAAAUGGCUAGAGUGUGACGGUACCUUAUGAGAAAGCCACGGCUAACUACGUGCCAGCAGCCGCAGUAA